rnacentral:rRNA from 1 species
UACAGAGGGUGCAAGCGUUGUUCGGAAUUAUUGGGCGUAAAGGGUGCGUAGGCGGCGGGGCAAGUCUGAUGUGAAAUCCCGGGGCUCAACCCCGGAACUGCAUUGGAUACUGCCUUGCUUGAGUACUGGAGAGGGAACUGGAAUUUACGGUGUAGCAGUGAAAUGCGUAGAGAUCGUAAGGAAGGCCAGUGGCGAAGGCGAGUUCCUGGACAGUUACUGACGCUGAGGCACGAAGGCCAGGGGAGCAAACGGG